rnacentral:misc_RNA from 1 species
UGUGGAUUUGAUGUAUAAUUAAAUUCUCAUUUGUUACUGGGUAGGGGCAAUGCAGGAAGCUGAUGGUUUGGGUUUGAAGCAAUUUGGCAGAAACAGUGUCAUAGGACUUGAAGGAAAUGGGAAACUGGCUUUGUCUGAGCAUGGUGAUAAUGCUGAAACUGGAGAAAGGGUAGCUUCUGAACAGACUGGUAUGGCUGAUGUGGCAUAUUGGUUGAACCAAAAUGAUGGCGCAUGUGGUGAAUCUGCUCCUGCCAGUGCUACAGACAUGAUGGAUGAGCCUCUGGCAUCUACUUUGUCUCUUUCGGUGGCAGAUGGAACCUUGGGUGGUGUUAACGAAGUGGCAAAUCAACAAAGGGAAGUCAUUCAUGUGGGUCCAUCAAAUAUAGAAGAUGCUGAGAUGCUGUCUGGGGCUGGUUAUUGUGGAAAAAAUGAGGAAGGCAUUCAAGCUGAUGGGAUUGCAGAGGCAUGUAAGCAGCAAUAUAUGCCUGAGGAUUCUUUUAUAUUUGUGGUUAAAAGCCAUGAAGAGCCUCUGUUGACUAAAUUGACGAAUUCAUAUGAUGGCUUUCCUGCAUCUCCUCCGGGUCAAGCAAGCCCAAUCAAUCUCUCGCAGCUCAUUGACGUGAUAAAAGGUCUCAGUGAAGAUGACUAUAGAUUGCUGCUUAGGUCAAGAGGAUCGACUGAUAUUUUGAUCUCACUGGAACAUGGAUUUCCUUGUUUAAUGGAGCGACUCAGGGAAGAAUUAUUCCUUACAAGCUGUACGAAGGAUAUACUGCAAUUGCAACUUACUGAACAGUCAUAUAUGCAAAUGGAGUAUGAUCACCUGUUUCAACAAUUGGAUGAUGAACUGUCUGUGCUUCGUGCUUCACUCAAUGAAGCUCAUGAAAGGUCUGAAUCCCUUGCCGAAGAGCUUGUGGAAUGCAGGUCUGAACUCAUUGCUGCUGUUAGUGGGAGGGAGGAGCUCCAACUUCAAUUCCAUGCGGCAAAGGCAGAGGUUGAGGAAGUUUCUGCCAGAGCAAAGGAGUUGCAGAACAGUCUAGAAAGGUCACAAGCAGAUAUAUCAAACCUAUUGAAGGAGUCGGCUGACUCUAAGGGAUCAGUGGGGGCAUUAUGUGCAGAAAAUGAGAACUUAAAUCAGACUAUUGCUUUGCUGACUGAGGAGAGAAAGAAACUUGUGGACAAAAAAAAUGCUUGUCUGCAUGAGAAUGAGAAGCUGUUGAAGGAGUUAGCUGACUGCAGGAAUUCAGUGGCAGCCUUACAGGUGGAAAGUUCCAACUUAAGUGGAACUCUUGCUUCAAUGACAGAGAAAAGCAAGAAGCUUGAAGAGGAGAAGGAGUAUCUUGCUAAUGGGAAUGAGAAGCUUUCUAUGGAUUUGUCUGACUGUAAGGUCUUGAUGGAAGCUUCACAGGUGGAAAAUGCCAAUUUAAGGGGAGAGCUUGUUAUGAUUUCAGAGGACAAGGAAUAUUCAGUUUGUGAGAUGGAGAGACUUUCAUCUGAGCUUCUUGUUCUUCACAAGAGGAUAUCUAAAGAUCAUGGGGAACACAAACAGUUGGAGGAUGAGCUAAAAGAAGUCACUUUGCGUCUUGAAGAGCUAUCUAAGGAAAACUUAUUUCUUCAAAGCAGUUUAGAACUAAAUAGAGCUAAGUUUAGAGAAAUUGAUGACAAGCAAGCCCUAAGAACUUGUCAAGGUGGGGAAUUUCCAAAUCAAGAAGGAGGUGUGGAAGUACAGAUCACAAGCUGUGAGAAAGAAGCUGUUGAUGAGCAGUCUCACCAAAUGCUUGGAAAUCAAAAUGGUGAACUGUCUGAUGGCCUUUCUGGUGGGUUGCUACCUGUGCCAUUUGAGCCAGAAGUCUUCGAUGAUUCUUUGGGUUUUGUAGUCUUGAAAGGACACCUGGAGGAAGGAGAAAGAAUUUUGCAAAAACUUGAGGAGGCAAUUGAAGGUAUGCAUUUACAGGUGGGAUCCUUGAGUAGAGCUACUGGUAAAGUAGCAGCUCCAGCUGUAUCAAAACUAAUUCAGGCUUUUGAGUCAAAGGUGCAUCACGACGAGCAAGAGGCAGAGGAAAGGGCAAUGAUAGAUGAUCCAUCAGCUGUAGGUGAUCCAUUUUUGUCAACAAAAGAGCAUAUAAGAGAUUUGAAGGCAGUACUUAAGCAGUUAGCCUUGGAUGCUGUGAAUGCGAGGUUAUUAUUCGAGACAGAGAGAGAUGGGAGAAGUGCUGCUAAUCUCACAAUCAAAGAGCUUAAGUUUCAGUCUGUAUCCAUUAAGGAACACACUGAUGAUUUAGAAGCAACCAACAUUGAGCUUGUGGUUCUUUAUGAAGCUGUAAAGCAACAUGUUUCUCAUUUUAGGGAAAAGAACCAACAGCUUGAGGGUCUUUAUGAAACCUUGAAGCAAAAAGACGGUAGUCUUAAAGCAGAAAACCAUGAGCUUGGUGAAAAGUUGUCCGAGUGUGAAUCCAGGAUUGAUGAAUUGCAGAAUCAAUUGUGUGAUUCACAGAAAAGUUCAGAUGAGCUGGCUUCUGUACUUCGUGGUCAAUUGGAAACUUUCCAGAAGGAAGCGGCUGAUAGGGCAUUGACAGCUGAGCAAGAAUGGAAUUCUACUGUUUCUCAGAUUAUUGAAGCAGUUGAGAGGCUUGAUGACUCUACUGGAUUUCUGAUCACCUCCUUCAUUGCAACUGGCAGUAAUGUUUACAUGGAUAAAAGUAGCCAUGCUACUGCUUCUGUUAAUGCAGCUAUUAAAACUAUUGAGGACCUGAAGAUGAAACUUGAAGUGGCUUUCUCAGACCAUGAAGCAACCUUUAAUUUAUUCAAAGAAGUGAAUGAGAAGUGGAAUGAGUUAUUAGCAAAGAAUGAAUUAGCCUGUGGUACAUUGCGUAGGUUGUAUUGUGAGCUUAGGAAACUUGUGGCAGAUUCAUGUGGCUCCCUGGGAGAAUCUGAUAUUGACAUACAAGAUGAGGAGUUGCCUGGUCCUGUGGAUUACAAUGUGUACAAAACCCUUAUGGCACAAUUGGAGAAUUUUCUGGCUGAGAGGCUGCAUCUACAGUCUGUUAACAACCAAAUUAGUUUGGACUUGAUGAGUAAAACAAAAGCUGCUGAGGAACUGAACAGAAGAUGUAUUGAUCUAAGUUCCAUUGAAAAGUUAAUUGAACAUGUUGAGGGUCUACUUAAACCAGAAGACAGUGAGGUGGACUUGGAUGGAAUUCCUAUUUUGCGUUUGGAGUCAUUGGUGUCUUUCCUUGUUCAUAAAUGUAAGGAGGCUGAUAAGCAAGUUAGCUCUUGUAGGGAAGAGUUUGGAUCGAAGGUGGAGGAAUUGACAGAAUUACAGGAAAAGAUGCAUCAGUUAACUGCCUUGAAAGUUCAGCAUGAAACAGAAAUCCUUCUCCUCAAAGAAAAAUUAAACCAAGUUGAGGAAGCUCUUUCCAGUAUGCAAUCCGAAUUACAGGAGAAAGUGCGUGAACUUGAACAGUCAGAGCAGAGGGUAUCUUCAAUUAGAGAGAAGCUUAGCAUUGCCGUUAACAAGGGGAAAGGAUUGGUCGUGCAGCGUGACAGUCUCAAGCAGUCCCUGUCAGAAACAUCCAAUGAAUUGGAAAGAUGUUCACAGGGGUUACAGCUGAAAGAUACCAGACUGCGUGAGUUAGAAACAAAAUUGAAGACUUAUUCAGAGGCGGGAGAACGUGUGGAGGCUCUUGAAUCUGAGCUUUCGUACAUUCGCAACUCUGCUACUGCAUUAAGAGAAUCAUUCCUUCUCAAAGACUCGGUGCUUCAAAGGAUAGAAGAGAUUUUAGAAGAUCUAGAUCUACCAGAGAAUUUUCAUUCAAGAGAUAUAAUUGAGAAGGUUGAUUGGUUAGCCAGGUCAGCCACUGGAAACUCUUUGCCUCCAACUGAUUGGGACCAGAAAAGUUCUGUGGGUGGUUCAUAUUCUGAUACUGGUUUUGUUGUCAUGGAUGCCUGGAAGGAGGAUACACAGCAAAGUUCAAAUUCAGGGGAUGAUUUGAGAAGAAAAUAUGAUGACCUUCAAGGUAAGUUUUUUGGGUUGGCUGAACAAAAUGAAAUGCUGGAACAGUCAUUAAUGGAGAGGAACCAGUUGGUGCAGAGGUGGGAGGAACUUUUGGACAGGAUUAAUAUGCCUGCACACUUACAAUCUAUGGAACCAGAAGAUAGGAUUCAGUGGUUAGGAAAUGCACUUUGUGAGGCUUAUAAUGAUAGGAACUCUCUGCUGCAGAACAUUGAUAAACUCCAAAACUAUUGUGGAUCCCUAACUGCA